CGGGGUGCAGCAGGCGCGAAAACUUUACAAUGCUGGCAACAGCGAUAAGGGGACCUCGAGUGCCAGGAUACAAUCUUGGCUGUCGUGAUGCCUAAAAAGCAUUGCAUAGCAAGGGCCGGGCAAGACCGGUGCCAGCCGCCGCGGUAACACCGGCGGCUCGAGUGGUAACCGCUAUUAUUGGGUCUAAAGGGUCUGUAGCCGGCCGGAUAAGUCUCUUGGGAAAUCCGACAGCUCAACUGCCGGGCUUUCAGGGGAUACUGUUCGGCUCGAGGCCGGGAGAGGUGAGAGGUACUUCAGGGGUAGGGGUGAAAUCUUGUAAUCCUUGAAGGACCACCAGUGGCGAAGGCGUCUCACCAGAACGGUCCUGACGGCAAGGGACGAAAGCUAGGGGCACGAACCGGAUUAGAUACCCGGGUAGUCCUAGCCGUAAACGAUACUCGCUAGGUGUCGGCCAUGGUGCGACCGUGGUCGGUGCCGUAGGGAAGCCGUGAAGCGAGCCACCUGGGAAGUACGGCCGCAAGGCUGAAAAUUAAAGGAAUCGGCGGGGGAGCAC
rnacentral:rRNA from 1 species